rnacentral:rRNA from 1 species
AUACGGAGGAUCCGAGCGUUAUCCGGAUUUAUUGGGUUUAAAGGGAGCGUAGGCGGAUUAUUAAGUCAGUUGUGAAAGUUUGCGGCUCAACCGUAAAAUUGCAGCUGAUACUGGUAGUCUUGAGUGCAGCAGAGGUAGGCGGAAUUCGUGGUGUAGCGGUGAAAUGCUUAGAUAUCACGAAGAACUCCGAUUGCGAAGGCAGCUUACUGGACUGUAACUGACGCUGAUGCUCGAAAGUGUGGGUAUCAAACAGGAUUAGAUACCCUGGUAGUCCACACAGUAAACGAUGAAUACUCGCUGUUUGCGAUAUACAGCAAGCGGCCAAGCGAAAGCAUUAAGUAUUCCACCUGGGGAGUACGCCGGCAACGGUGAAACUCAAAUGAAUUGACGGGG